UCUGGUGGCUCAGAUGGUAAAGUGUCUGCCUGCAAUGCAGGAGACCCAGGUUCGAUCCCUGAGUCUGGAA
rnacentral:tRNA from 1 species